rnacentral:rRNA from 1 species
GACGAAGGGGGCUAGCGUUGUUCGGAAUUACUGGGCGUAAAGCGAGUGUAGGCGGUUGCCCAAGUCAGGUGUGAAAGCCUUGAGCUCAACUCAAGAAAUGCACUUGGUACUGGGUGGCUAGAGGACCGGAGAGGAUAGUGGAAUUCCCAGUGUAGUGGUGAAAUACGUAGAGAUUGGGAAGAACACCAGUGGCGAAGGCGGCUAUCUGGACGGUUACUGACGCUCAUGCACGAAAGCGUGGGGAGCAAACAGG